UGUAAAAGUGAAAUGGUAUUAUUUGUUACGGCUAAUCUCUUAAACUAGGAAGUUAAUCAUACAACUGUUAUGUGAUCAUUAAAUAGUAAAGUAUAUAUCGCAGAGAAGGUUAUAAGUAAUUGAAAUUCUAUUGAAGUCUAAACAGUAGAAGUAGUAGUCCUAAUUCUUCAGUUUUUUCAGUUUGAUAAAAAAUAUUAACUUGUAUUAACUUUUGUAAGUUAUAAACAAUCGAGUAAUUAAUUUAUAUAGAUAAAUAGCAAAUACGCUGAAAUGAAUUAUCUAAAAUUAUAACAAAACAAAAUAGGCACCUGCUAAACACCAAACGGAAAUAUAGGUGUUGAACGACCUAUCUAUGCGUCAACAGGUGGUACAGAAAAAGUUAUUAGAAAACUUUGGUUCAUCAGCUAGUAUUAGAAUACGAAUAUUUUCUUUUGUUUAAAUACGGAAAAUCAGCGCUAUCUUCUUAUCCAAAUUUAAAAGUGAAGUAUCUUGUCAAUGAUUUAAAGGAAAUUUAAAAUGCUAACAGCAAAAUGUAUUUAAACU